rnacentral:rRNA from 1 species
GACAGAGGAUGCAAGCGUUAUCCGGAAUGAUUGGGCGUAAAGCGUCUGUAGGUGGCUUUUCAAGUCCGCCGUCAAAUCCCAGGGCUCAACCCUGGACAGGCGGUGGAAACUACCAAGCUGGAGUACGGUAGGGGCAGAGGGAAUUUCCAGUGUAGCGGUGAAAUGCGUAGAGAUUGGGAAGAACACCGGUGGCGAAAGCGGUCUGCUGGGCAGUAGCUGACACUGAGGCGCGACAGCGUGGGGAGCAAACAGG